UACGUAGGGGGCAAGCGUUGUCCGGAUUUAUUGGGCGUAAAGAGCGUGUAGGCGGCUUGGUAGGUCCGCUGUGAAAACUCGAGGCUCAACCUCGAGAUGUCGGCGGAAACCACUUGGCUAGAGUCCGGAAGAGGAGAGUGGAAUUCCCGGUGUAGCGGUGAAAUGCGCAGAUAUCGGGAAGAACACCUAUGGCGAAGGCAGCUCUCGUGGGACGGUACUGACGCUGAAGACGCGGAAAGCGUGGGGAGCGAACAGG
rnacentral:rRNA from 1 species